rnacentral:rRNA from 1 species
AACGAACGCUGGCGGCGUGGAUAAGACAUGCAAGUCGAACGGGACAGGUAGCAAUAUCUGUCUAGUGGCGAACGGGUGCGUAACACGUGGGCAACAUGCCUGGAAGAGCGGGAUAGCCCGGGGAAACUCGGAUUAAUACCGCAUGUGACAACGGGGCGGCUUUGCCCUGUUUUCAAAGGUGGGGACCGCAAGGCCUGCCGCUUCCAGAUUGGCCCGCGUCCUAUCAGCUAGUUGGCGGGGUAAAAGCCCACCAAGGCGACGACGGGUAGCUGGUCUGAGAGGACGACCAGCCACACUGGAACUGAGACACGGUCCAGACACCUACGGGUGGCAGCAGUCGAGAAUCUUUCACAAUGGGGGAAACCCUGAUGGAGCGACGCCGCGUGGAGGAUGAAGGUCUUCGGAUUGUAAACUCCUGUCAUGAAAGAACAGGCGAUGCGGGUGAACAGCCCGCAAAGUUGAUAGUAUUUCAAGAGGAAGGGACGGCUAACUUCGUGCCAGCAGCCGCGGUAACAC